GUGUGGUGGCAACACUAAACAAGGCUUCCUAGCUUUCCCUUUUGGUCUAGGAAAAGACCUCUUAUCCUUUCAGACUGACUGAAUGAAUGGAGAAAGCAUUAAGUGCUGACUAGUUAUGCCAGGCCCUGUGCUAAGUGCUGCAGACACAAAUAGAAAGAGAGUCCCUAUGGUAGAGUUUUUGGUUGUUAUUUUUUAUUAAAGCUUUUUAUUUUCACAACAUAAUGCAUAAAUAGUUUUAAACAUUCUCCCUUGCAAAACUCAAAUUUUUCUCCCUCCCUCCUCCUAUCCUCACACCUAGAUGUCAAGUAAUUCAAUAUAUGUUAAAGUGUGUGGUUCUUGUGUACAUAUUUCCACAAUUGUCAUGCUGCACAAGAAAAAUCAGAUCAAAAAGGGAAAAAAUGAGAAAGAAAACAAAAUGCAAGCAAACAACAACAAAAAAGUGAAAAUACUAUGUUGCGAUCAACAUUCAAUCUCUACAAUCCUCUCUCUGGGUUAUGCUCAGAAUUUAAAAGAGAAUAUAGGGGGAAUGGUGUCCAUGGAAGGAAAUUUGCUUUGGGGAGUCACUGGUGAACAAGGCAGCCGAUUGACAUACCCUUUCCAAGAUACAUGAGAAAUUUUCUUUGCUAACUCUGUGCCUUGGGAUCUGCGAGCAUAGUGAUUGGUUGAGGGAAUGAAAGAUAAAAUUGGAAUGCUUUACUUUUAUACUCAAGGUUAACUAACUAGCAGGAUGUGAAAUCAUCCUAUCUUGGCUGCCAAGUGCUCUGGGACUCUUUGAGCCCAGAUGAAUAUUUAUUAAUUUAUCAUUAGGGAAAAGAGGAUAAGAAUUAAAUGGUUCUCCUAGAAGUGAAAGCAAAAAACAAUGGAUGUUUAUCGGAUAUUAGCCACUUGGCAAGAGAACAUCUUUGAAAUAUUUUCUCAAGUUAAGAUUUUAUGGAGAUUUUCUCAAGUUAAGAUUUUGUUUUACUUGGAAUUCUAUUCUACUAUCCCCUAUACUAGGGAAAGGAAAAUAAUCUUCCAAUAUACAGAUAAUCUAGCCAGAGGGGAAAAAAAAACCUUAAUUAUUAAUAUGGUUACAUAUCGUUGUGUAUGUGAUGUAUAUUCUAUAAAAAGUAAUAGCACUUCAUUUUCAUUUCCCAGAGGGAAGAUGAAAAUUAAAAAAUUCUAAGAAGGAAGCAUACACUACAAAAAUUAGCAUUUAUAUAGUGUUACAAAGUUUUUCAAGCACUUUGAAUAUAUUGUCUCAUGUGAUCUUAAUAGCAGGUGAGGUGUAGGUACUGUUAUUAUUUCUAUUUCAUAGAUGGAAAACUUGAGCCUGAGGGGUUAUAACUUGCUUAGGCUCACAUGUAGUAUCUGAAGUAGGUUUUAAACUUGGGAAUUCUUGAUUCCAAACCCAGCACCCUAUCCAUUGUAUCACCUCAUUGCCUCUUAUACUAAGAAAUUAUAAGCCACUAAUUGAGGGGGUAAUUGUUUAGUAGGCUCCUAUUCAACUCAGUAUCUUUGGUUAUUAUUGUAGUUCAGAAGCCUUCAGAAGCCUUCAUAACUGGGGUUUUUAAAUGGUACCAGGCUUGAAGAUCCUUCUUUUUAAGUAUCCUUUCUUGUAUUAAGCUAUUUCUCUUUUACUUCAUCUUGGUUUUGCCUCCCCGCCCUCCUCUCUCCUCUCCAGUAAAGCUAUUUUUCUUUCAAUGUUUGGCAAGAGUUAAAUGUUUAUGCCCUAGUUUGUGGGUUUUAUAGCCCAGAAAAGUAAAUUUCAGUAGAACUUCUUAAACUGUAUUUGCUUAGAAAAACUAUGGGAAGAAUGAUCCUUUCUGUGGACUUUUUUGUGUUGUGCUGGUCUUAAACUUGUUUGCCACCACUCCCUGAAAUGAUUAUUGCUGUAGUCAAAAACAUUCUCUUAAGGAGUUAUCUACUUGAUAUGGCUUCUUUUGGAAGAGGCUAAUUGUACUUUAUGCUGAAAGUUUCAAAGUUUAAAUCAGUUGUAGAAUUGUUUUCUUUAGACUUCACUGUACUUGAUUAAUUAGAGAUUUUUAAAUGGUUUAAUCCCCUCUUUAUGAUCUUUUCUUAAAAGAAACUUUAGUCCUCAUUGACAGGCUUUUCGUUUGUUCAUUCUGACCCACCUUGGCAUUUGUUAUAGCAUUUGGAAUAUAAAUUAGGAAGCCUCUACAGAUGGGGUGAGACAGUGGUGUGAGGCUAAACAGGCUUGAAUUUCUGUGUCCAUCUCUCUCAUCUUUGCUGCCUGAGUGACCUUCAAAUCGGUCAUCGACUCUCCUUAGGCUUCUGUUUCCUCAUCUAGCUAGCUAUUGGGCCUUAGGGAUGGCUGAAUCAGCAGCAGCAACUUCUGGAGCAAUUUCUUGGCCCAGACAUGGCAAGAAAGUCAUGCAACUGGUCAUUAGACUAUUCCAUGCGAUCUUUUGCUGGCACUGGGAAAGGACAGUUGCAUUGCUUAUACAUGGAUCCAGGUUGCAGUCCUCACCAGUCUCAGUCUCAGGGCAAGUAGGAGCAUUAACACACCACAGCUAACAUUGAAGGGGGAGGAGGGACCCUGGCUCCAGUGCUAGGGGGAAAAUGCUUGAGGUUCCUCAUAGGCUAGAGCACAGCCCAGGAGAGCAGUGACCACACCCCUUUUUAGACAGGCUACCUAUAGAAGAAUUGAAAACUGAAAGACUCCUACCUAGAACUAGCUCUGAAGACAUCAUAAAAAACCUGGGAUAGGCUCCUCCACCCCUGAAACAGAAUCAAAUUUUAGCAUAAAGUUACAAUUCAAGAAACAGGCAAGAAAAUGAGCAAAUAAAAAAAAGAACCUGGCCAUAGAAAACAGGAAGGAUCAAAACAGUCAAUAGACAACCAAGUCAAAAUAAUGACAUUCAAAGCCUCAAGGAAAAAAUGUUAAUGGCACACAAGCCCAACAAGAAUUCCUGGAAGUACUCAAAAAAAGAUUUACAAAAUCAAGUAAGAUAGUAAAAAUUGGAAAAAUAAAUGACCAUGAUGAAAGAAAAUCAUGAAAAAAGAAUCAACAUUUUGGUAAAGGAAGGCAUAAAAAAUAGUGAAAAAAAUAGCACCUUAAAAUAGAGUAGCAGAGGAUUUUGGGAAGAUGAUGGAGUAGAUCAGAAAAUUUCAAGCUCUCCAGAUAUCCCCCCACAAAUAGAUCAAGUUUUCACCUCAAGUUGAAUAUAGACUGGUGAAAAACAAAAAAGACCUGCAAUAGAACAGUGGUCCUGCAGGGACUACCCGAAGCUGAAGACCCCAAGUUUGGGUUUUAACUUCCAGGCUAGCCUGGGAAACAGUAAGGAGGGGAACCCUAGAAUAGAUGGGUUCUGGGAACCACAGAAACUUUCACCUUCCCAACAGCAUGAGGAAUCAGGGCUCUGAGUGCAGGAAGGCUGAAGGAACCUCUGCUGAUUAGAAACACCAAGACCCAGUGUGGUUGCAAAGAUUGGGCCAGGGAUGCUGCUGGUUGCUUGCCAGGAAGAUGGAGAUUUUUGGUUUGGGGUUCCUAAACCCCAUUUUAGAGAGCUAAAAUGAAGCACCAUCCCCCCAAAGCCAGGAUUAGAGGUGUUUAUACUAAUAGUUAUUGAAAAAAUAAAAACAGAAAUACAACCAUAGAGAAUAACCAUGAGAAUAAGGAAAACCUAGGUUCAUCUUCAGAAGAGCAUCUUUCAGAAGUCAUCUACAGUAAAGCUUAAAAAAAAAAAAAAA